rnacentral:rRNA from 1 species
UACAGAGGGGGCAAGCGUUGUUCGGAAUUACUGGGCGUAAAGGGCGCGUAGGCGGCCCGCUAAGUCGAACGUGAAAUCCCCGAGCUCAACUCGGGAACUGCGUCCGAUACUGGCGGGCUUGAAUCCGGGAGAGGGAUGCGGAAUUCCAGGUGUAGCGGUGAAAUGCGUAGAUAUCUGGAGGAACACCGGUGGCGAAGGCGGCAGCCUGGACCGGCAUUGACGCUGAGGCGCGAAAGCUAGGGGAGCAAACGGG